CCCUCCCCCCACCACACACACAGAGGCACGUGUGAACAAGGGAAUGCAAAUGCACAAAAUAAGUAUGUUUUGAUCAGAGUGAAAACAAAUCACGGGAAUUUUAACCAUUCCACCAUCAUUCCACCAUUCUUUUAAUUUACUCUCUGUGUUUAGUCUUCCAAAGAGGGUGGCAGGUGUGUGGUUUGGUGAGUGCCGGCUGGCGGUGGCAGCGAGGAACAGAGAACAACAACAACCCCCCCUCCCCCCCAUCGGGAUCGGUGGAGGGUUUUAAAAAUGAGUGAGCCAUUUAAAAAUGGUGUGGAACUGAGGUCGCCGCCACCCUCCCCUCACGCCGGAGUUUGGACGCUCCCUUUUCCUAACUGUGCCUGUUCCUUGCUAAUUGUUAACCGAUUCGAGAGUGCAUGUCCUUUCACUUAGAGGUGGCCUGUUUUCACCGCUCCGUCCUACUUUCCUUUUCUGGGUGCCUGAGGGGGUUGGCCCCGAGUCCAUCCCGCGUUCACUGUGUUCCGGCGGGACAACCGGGACCGUUUGUGCCAUUCGGGAGAAGUGGUGUCAGAGUAGCUGUGACCUCUCCUAGUAACAAAGGGUCGACUGCAAAUCACCAAAUGUAAAUUAUUGGGCCUCAUGGACAUCAGCAUGGAACACACCCCAAAGUAAGUAAGAAUCAUGGUAAAACAUCCAAAAGCCUGAAGUCUCACCCUUGGAACACAGGAAGGUAGAUAUUACAGAACUGAUAUCUAAUGGGACUACAGAACCACAUUCUGUAGUCCAUGCUGUCUAUGAUUUACUGAUGUCAGGUAUUUUUUGCAUAAAAUAAAAAAUUGGGAGUUAAUAAUUUUAAGUAGGUACACAAUAUCUACACUGUUAAAUUCACUCUGUAGCUUGGCCACCUUUGUUGCCAAAAUCAUUGCAAAAAAACUAGAAUUGAAAAACGGAAUUUUUGAGUACACAUUCAGAAAUACCUAUAAAGUCCCCUAUCAAGGAAUGAACAAUUGGAAAAUGAAAUACAAUAUUCACUCAAUUAAAUGUCUGUAGGGAAUAAAUGGCCUUUGGGAAACAGAGAGAACCUAGGAAAUUGAGCUGUUUGUUACAGGAAUGGACCUGGGAAUAGAAUUAUUAUCCAGAAGAAUUUCCUACAUCCCAUGUUCCUAGAUCUUUUCUACCCAAGACAAGCCCCUAACUAACUUUCUCCAUUCAGAACAUGUAACCACUAAGGAAGCAAAGAGAAGUUUCUAGCUGUAGAGAGAUGUAGUAAAUAAAUGUUUCCACUGUGUCACAGGAGACACUCCUGGAAAGGGCACCCUCGAAUCUGGUCAAUGUAAGGAAAGCUGUUCAGCAGGUAGGCCAUGGCAGUUCUCAGUGACAUCAUCAUUAGCCCCUCCCUGAAAAAUCUCUUGUAUCCUGGAGAGCCCUAGCUUCUUCUGUGAUCACAAGUGUCCUGACUGGAUCUGCCUCUCAGAUAUUCCUUCAGUACCUCUAGGGUUUACUAAUUGGCCUCUAAUUCAGAGUAAACAGCCAUUUGGAAGGGAGAACAAAGAGAAUGAAAAGAACAGAGUUGGGGAUAAAGAAGCUGGCCUUCUGUCUUGGUAUAAGAAAAGAAGAAAUACGUGGUCCAUGGGAAAGCAUAGUGAGUCCUGUGUAGGGGUUGAGUGGGUGUGCUGAAGAGAUAGCCUUGAUCUGAGCCUUUCAUUUAUGGGAAACAGGAGUUGGGAGCCUCUCAGAAACAUCUGUACUUCCCUGCUUGUUUUUGUUGGUAGAAAUCAGAGAGUUUAUAUCAUUAAUUUCUUUAUUCCAAAAGCCAGGUAUUGGGAAGGGCACAGUUGUUUUCCUGAGAGCUCAUGGCUUUUACUCUUUUUGCCCAGAAGAAAAGGGUCCUAACGAAAAAGGGAAAGACAAGUAUUGUGUCCUCAGCUCAGAGUAAACUCCUCCAUGGUUUGGAUUCCUAUAAUGCAUUUUGUUUCUAACUCUGAUAUCUGGGAGAGAGAAGUGCUUGUAGUUGAGACUUCAUCAUCUCAGUCUUUCCACUAGUAUUAGUCGGAAAUACUAAUUUCAGGGAAUGAAAGUGACAGUGACCCUCUAGAUAUCUGAGUCAAUAGGUCUGAUUACCUUGCAGUUUUAGUUACUUUUAUUUCUUUCAUUUAUUUUUUAAUUUUUAAGCUAAUUUAAUACUUUUUUCGAUAUUUCUAUAUUUACAUUUCAAAUGUUAUUUCCUUUCCCAGUUUCCUGUCCAUAAGAGACCUAAACGUUCCCCUUCCUUUCUAUUUAAACCUCCCUUACUCCCCCUUGACAUUCCCUUGAACUGGGGGUCAAACCUAGGGAGGACAAAGGGCCUCUCCUUCCUUUGGUGCCCAACAAUGCCAUCCUCUGUUACAUAUGCAGUUGGAGCCAUAUGUCUGUCCAUGUACAGUCUUUGGAUAUUGGUUUAGUACCAGAAAGCUCUGGUUCAUUGGCAAUGUUGUUCUUAUGGGGUUGAAAGCACCUUCAACUCUUGUAAUCCUUUGUCAAAAUCUACCAACAACAUGUCCAUUUACAAUUUUCUGUUUUGCCACUAACAUUCACUUGUGUAUUUGACAUGCUCUAGCUGUGCCUCUCAGGAAAGAUCUAUAUCCAGUUCCUGGAACCAUGCACUUCUUAGCUUCAUUAAUCUUAUCCUAGUUUUGGUGGCUGAUCUAUCUAUCUAUGUAUAUAUGCUUUUGGUGGCUUCUACAGCUAUGAGGUUAGGUGGAAUUUUAACGUGGAUUCUGAACAGCUAGGUCAAGAACGGAGAAUCCACAAUAGACAAUGCCCAAGAGACUCCCUCCUGUUCUUAUGAACCUAUUGAAGUUGAGGUUUCACUGGACCUCAAGACAUUCCUCUCCCUGCCCAUCCUCCUGUACCUUAUGUUUGGCCUGAAGUAAGAAUCAUGUUAAAACAUCCAAAAGCCUGAAGUCUGGACCUGGGAACACAAGGAGGUAGAUAUUACAGAACUGAUAUCUAAUGGGACUACAGAACCGCAUUCUAUAGUCCAUGCUUUCCUUUGAUUUACUAAUGUCAGGGAUUUUUUUGCAUAAAAUAAAAAUUUGGGAGUUUAUCAUUUGAAGUAGGUACACAAUAUUUACACUGUAACAUUCACUCUAUAGCUUGGCCCCCUUUGUGGCCAAAAUCAUUGCAAAAACUAGAAUUGGAAAACGGAAUUUUUGAGUACAGAUUCAGGAAUAUAUAUAUAAGGUCCCCUAUCAAGCAAUGAACAAUAAGAAAGUGAAAUACAAUAUUCAGUCAAUUAAAGGUCUCUAGGAAAAAUAUUGGCCUUUGGGAAACAGAGAAAACCUAGGAAAUUGAACUGUAUGUCACAGGAAAGAACCUGGGAAUAAAAAUAUUAUCCAGAAGAUGCUCCUCCACUCCAUGUUCUUAAAUCUUUUCUACCCAUGCCAAGCCCCUGACUAACUUUCUCCAUUCAGAGCAUGUAACCACUGAUGAAGCAAAGAGAAGUCUCUAGCUUUAGAGAGAUGGAGUAAGUAAAGGUUUCCACUGUGUCACAGGAGACACUCCUGGAACGGGCACCCUCGAAUCUGGAUAAUGUAAGGAAAGCUGUUUAUAGGUAGGCCAUGGCACGUCUCAGUGACAUCAUCAUUAGGCACUCCCUGAUAAAUCUCUUGUAACCUGCAAAGCCAUAGCUUCUUCUGUGAUGUCACAACUGUUCUCGUGACUGCAACUCCUUCUCAGAUAUUCCUUCAGUACCUCUAGGGUUUACUACUUGGCCUGUAAUUCAGAGUAAACAGCCAUUUGGGAGUGAGAACAAGAGGAUGAAGAGAUCAGAGAUGGGGAGAAGGAAGCUGGCCUCCUGUCUUGGUAUAAACAAUGAAGAAAUACGUGGUCCAUGGGAAAGCUCUGAGUCCUUGGUAGGGUUUUAAUGAGUUUUCUGAAGAGAUAGCCUUGAUCUGAGCCUUCCACAUAUGGGAAUCAGGAGCUGGGAGCCUCUCAGAAACCUCUGGACUUCCCUGUUCUUAUGGUUCCUGGAAGUCAGAGAGUUUAUAUUAUUCAUUUCUUUAUUUCAAAUGCCAAGUGUUGGGAAGGGCACACUUGUUUUCCUGAGAUCUCAUGGCCUUUAUUCUUUUUGUCAAAAAAUAAAUGUCCUGAGGAAGAAGAGAUGGACAAGUAUUGUGUCCUCAGCUCAGAGUAAACUCCUCCAUGCUUUGGAUACCUAUGGUGCAGUUUGUGUCUGACACUGGUAUCUGGGAGAGAGAAGUGCUUCUGGUUGAGGCUUCAUCAUCUCAGACUUUCCACUAGUAUUACUCUGACUACCACUUUAGAUAUCCGAGUCAAUAGGUGUGACUAGUUGUCAGUUUUCUUUUCUUUUAUAUAUUUCAUUUUUUUUUCCGGAGCUGGGGACCGAACCCAGGGCCUUGCACUCCCUAGGCAAGCGCUCUACCACUGAGCUAAAUCCCCAACCCCUUAUAUAUUUCAUUUUUUAUUUUUUAGCAAAAUUUAUUGUUUUUUUUAACUGGAUGUUUCUAUAUUUACAUAAAAUAUUAUUUCCUUUCCCAGUUUCCUGCCCAUAAGUUCCCUACCCGUUCCCUUCCCCUUCUUCUCUAACCCCCUGUUCUGCCCCUUGACCUUUCCUUGAACUUGGAGACAACCCUAGGGAGGACCAAGGGCUUCUACUUCCAUUUUGCCCAACAAGGCCAUCCUCUGUCACAUACGAAUUUGGAGCCAUAGGUAUGUCCACGUACAUUCUUUGAUUAGUGGUCUAGUACCAGAAAACAUUGGUUCAUUUGCAUUGUUUUUCUUAUGGGGUUGUAAGCCCCUUCAACUCUUGAAUCCUUUGUCAAAAUCUACCAACUAGAGGAAUUUUUUCAGUUCACUGGUUUGCCACUAGCAUUCACUUCUGUAUUUGACAUGCUGUAGCUUUGUCUCUCAGGAAAGACCUAAAUCCGGUUCCUGGCAAAAUGCACCUCUUACCUUCAUCACUCUUAUCUAGUUUUGGUGGCUGAUGUACAUAUAUAAUUUUGAUGGCUUCUACAGUUAUGAAGUAAGGUGGAAUUUAAAACAUGAAUUCUGGGCAACUAGGUCAAGAAUGUAGAAUCCACAAUAGACAAUGCCAAAUAGACUCCCUCCUGUUCUUACGAACCUACUGAAGUUGAGGUUUCACUGGACCUCAAGCCAUUCCUUUCCCUGCCCAUCCUCCUGUAUCUUAUAUUUGGCCUGAAGAAAGAAUCAUGGUGAAACAUCCAAAACACUCGAAUCUGGCCCUGCGAGCACAGGAAGGUAGAUAUUGCAGACCUGAUAUCUAAAGUAUAUAGAGAAUUGAAUUCUAUACUCCACGUUGUCAUUUUCUUUUCUGAUGUUUGGUAAUUUUUAGAUAAAAUAAGGAUUUAGGAGUUAAUCAUUUGAAGUAGGUACACAAUACUUACACUGUUAAACUCACUCAAUAGCUGGAUCCCCUUUGCUGCCAAAAUCAUUGCACAAAAUGGAAUUGGAAAACAGAAAUUUUGAGUACACAUUCAGGAAUAUUUAUAAAGUCCCCUAUUAAGGAAUGUACAAUUAGAAAAUGCAAUACAAUAUUCACUCAAUUAAGGUUUGUAGGGAAAAUCCUGGCCUUUGGGAAACAGAGAAAACCUUGAAAAUUGAACGGUAUAUCACAGGAAAGAACCGGGAAUAAAAUUAUUAUCUAGAAAAAUCUCCUACAUUCCAUGUUCCUAAAUCUUUUCUACCCAUGCCAAGCCCCUGACUAACUUUCUCCAUUCAGAGCAUGUAACCACGGAUGAAGCAAAGAGAAGUCUGUAGCUUUAGAGAGAUGGAGUACAUAAAAUUUUCACUGUGUCACAGGAGACGGAAACGGCACCCUUGAAUCUGGUCAAUGUAUGGAAAGCUGUUUAGUAGGUGGGUCAUGGCAGAUCUCAGUGACAUCAUCAUUAGGCCCUCCCUGAUAAAUCUCUUAUAACCUGGAGAGAUGUCACAAAUGUUGUCAUGACUGCAACUGCCUCUCAGAUGUUCCUUCAGUACCUCUAGGGUUUACUAAUUGGCCUGUAAUUCAGGGUAAACAGCCAUUGGGGGAGUGAGAACAAAGAGGAUGAAGAGAUCAGAGAUGGGGAGAAGGAAGCUGGCUUUCUGCCUUGGUAUUAAAAAAAGGGAGAAAUAUGUGGUCCAUGGGAAAGCUCAGUGAGUCCUUCCUAGGGGUUGAGUGGGAUCACUUAAGAGAUAGCCUUGAUCUGAGCCUUCCACAUAUGGGAAUCAGGAGCUGAGAGCCUCUCAGAAGCAUCUGGACUUCCUUGUUCUUAUGGUUCCUGGAAGUCAGAGAGUUUAUAUCAUUCAUUUCUUUAUUCCAAAAGCCAAGUUUUGGGAAGGGCACAGUUGUUUUCCUGAGAGCUCAUGGCCUUUAUUCCUUUUGUCCAAAAGAAAAAGGUUCUAAGGAAGAUAGGAUGGACAAUAUUGUGUCCUCAGCUCAGAGUAAACUCAUCCAUGCUUUGGAUCCCUAUAGUGCAGUUUGUGUCUGACUCUGAUAUCUGGGAGAGAGAAGUGCUUCUAUUUGAGACUUCAUCAUCUCUGUCUUUCCACUAGUAUGACUCUGAACACCACUUUAGAUUUCCGAGUCAAUAGGUGUGAUUAGUUGCCAGUUUUCUUUUCUUUUAUAUCUUUCUUUUUUUUUUUUUUUAGCAAAUUUUAGUGCUUUUUAAAACUGGAUGUUUCUAUAUUUACAUUUAAAAUGUGAUUUCCUUUCCCAGUUUCCUGCCCAUAAGAUCCCUACCUAUGGGCUGGAGAGAUGGCUCAGCGGUUAAGAGCACCGACUCCUCUUCUUGAGGUACUGAGUUCAAUUCCUAGCAACCACAUGGUGGCUCACAACCAUCUGUAAUGAGAUCUGAUGCCCUCUUCUGGUGUGUCUGAAGACAGCUAUAGUGUACUGAUAUACAUUAAAUAAAUAUUUAAAAAAAAAAGAUCCCUACCUAUUCAGUAUCCCUUCUUCUCUAACCCCCCUUACUGUGCCUUCAAAUUCCCUUGAACUGGAAGUCAAACCUAGGGAGGACCAAGGGCUUCAACUUCCAUCGGUGCCCAACAAUGCCAUCCUCUGCCACAUAUGCAGUUGGAGCCAUAGGUCUGUCCAUGUAUAGUCUUUGAAUAUUGGAUUAGUACCAGGAAGCUCUGGUUCAUUGGCAAUGUUGUUCUUAUGGGGUUGAAAGCUCCUUCAGCUCUUGUAAUCCUUUCUCAAAUUCCACCAAGAGGUCUGUUUUCAGUUCAGUGGUUUGCUGCUAGCAUUUACCUCUGUAUUUGACAUGCUCUACCCGUGUGUCUCAGGAUAGAUAUAUAUCUGAUUCCUGUCAACAUGCUCUUCUUAGCUUCACCAAUCUUAUCUAGUUUUGGUGGCUGAUAUACAUACAUCCAUAUAUGCAUCUUGGAUAAUUUGAGCUUUUGGGCCAAUAUUCACUUUUGGUGACUGCAUUCUAUGUGAGUUUUUCUGUGAUUGGGUUGCCUCACUCAGGAUGAUAUUUUCUAGUUCAAUCCAUUUUUCUAUGAAUUACUUGAAAUCAUUUUUUUGAUAGCUGAGUAGUACCCAAUUGUGUAGAUAUACCACAUUUUCUGUAUCCAUUCCCCAUAAUUGUCAUCUGGGUUCUUUCCAGCUUAUGGGUAUUAUAAAUAAGGUGCUAUGAACAUAGUUGAGCAUGUGUCUUUGUUGUAUGUUGGAGCAUCUUUUCUGUAUAUGCUCAGGAGGGGUAUGGCUGAGUCCUCAGUUAGUGCAAUGUCCAAUUUUCUGAGGAACCUGCAGACUGAUUUCCAGAGUGGUUGUACCAGUUUGUAAUCCCACCAAAAAGGAGUGUCCCUCUUUCUCUACAUCCUUAUCAGCUCUGCUGUCUCCUGUCUCUUUAUUUCAGCCAUUCUGACUUGUGUGAGGUGGAAUCUCAGGGUUGUUUUCAUUUACAUUUCCUUGAUGACUAAGAAUGUUGAACAUUUCUUUAGGUGCUUCUCAAAUACGUGAUUUUUCUCAGUUGAGAAAUCUUUGUUUAGUUCUGUACCAUAAUUCUAAUAGGGUUAUUUGUCUCUCUGAAGUCUAACUUCUUGAGUUCUUUGUAUGUAUUGGUAAUAGCUCUGUAUUAGAUGUAGGAUUGGUAUAGACCCUUUCCAAAUUUGUUUCUUGCUGUUUUGUCCUAAUGACAGUGUCCUUUGGCAGGCAUUUUUCUACUACAGUGAAGAACUGUCAGUUAGUGAACUAGAGCAGGGACUGGCUCUUCCUGACUUCCCUACUUGUCCUGAACAGUAAUUGGGGAAACUAAACAAUCAUGUUCUACUCCUACAAGGCAUGUGUAUCUACAGUCGUGGGUCUAGAGAGACCUACCCAUGAUUCUGGGCAUCUGAACAUCAACUGUAUGCUGAUGGAGUUUGUAGUUUUCAUCCUGGCUUCUGUAACUACAGGCUAUGGUGUUCUGAAGCCAAAUUACACCAUGUGCAGCUGUGAAUAGGCUUGAGGACGCUGUCUCCUUGGAUUUCUGAAGCAUUGCUAAGGGAUCCAGAGGAAAUCAGCACCCUCUACUCAACAGAUCUCUGGGAAUGCUGACAUUCUUGCUUCAUCUCUCUAUGAAGCUAGGUCAAAUGAUCACCUGUCAGGGUCUGCUGUGAAGGCAUCAUGCCAACCUUCCACCGUCAAUGAGCAAGUACAGCAGAUUAAGAAGUUGGAGAAACUGACUAAUGAGCUCCCGAAGAUGACCUGUGUGUUGGGUAAACUCCCAGGAAUACUGACCCUUUGCACCAACAGCAUUUGGACAAAAGAUAGCCAUUAUGCCCACUUCUUUGUUGACUGUCCUGACCCCUCUGUGUUAACCUCAGUUUUCUAACAUCACAGGAAACUGUAAUUGUAAUGUCGUCAUGCACAAACUAAUUUUCUUAUGUGCCUCUCAGAGUUAAACAUGAAGACAGGAUAGGAGUGUGAUGGGAAGCUAUUUCAUUUCUCAGAUAAGCAGAAGCUUUGAUUGGAAUAACAGUCUUGGAAUAUGGCAAGUAAUGUGUGAGCUCUCUUCCUGGACAGAGAAUGCAUUUUCUGUCUUCAGAGGAACAGAGAGCUGGUCAGCUUCAGAAGCACAGUAACUUAAACUUAGAUAAGUAAACUUUCAUUUAUUUAUUUUAAAGAUUUAUUUGAUUUGAUUUAUGUGCAUAUUUUGUAACUGUCAGACACAACAGAAGAGGGCAUUAGAUGCCAUUAUAGAUGGUUGUAUGCCAUGAUGUGUUUGCUGGGAAUUGAACUCAGGACUAUGGAAAAGCAGUUAGUGCUCUUAAAUGCUGAAUCAUCUUACCAGACUAACCUACUGUUGAUGAUGGUGGUGGUGGUGGUGGUGAUGAUGAUGAUGAUGAUGAUGAUGAUGAUGAUGAUGAUACCACAACUCCAAAUAGAUCAAGACUUACCCUCCUGCAAUGGUCUUCCCCCUCCCCUGUCUCAAAAAGAACCUACAAUAAAGAAGACACCAUCACAGCUGCCCAUUUUCCCCAGCACUAAAUAAAGAAAAGUUUUACAUUGUCUUGGUUAUGGAGAUUCUCUUGUUCACUGGGCUCAUAGCUUCAGACCUGAAGCCAGGUAGACUAUGGAAAAUGGAGCUCCUUUUGGAGGAAGCUGCUUACCUUGGAGGAACUGGGAAACAGUGAGCAAGAGUAAGAUGUUGGUCCACCACCUUAUCCCUUGCUGAGAACAAAGUUUCCUCUUCACAGCCUGAGAACUGGGUAAGGAGGGUAAGCUGGCAUGGCUAACAAGCCAAUCCAGUUUUCCAUUGGGUAUAGAGGGGGAGCAUUUCAUUGACUAUGCUGAAUGUAUCUCCUGUCCACUGUGUUCUAAUCCCAUGCAAGGAAAGUUUGGUUGAUUUUGUCUGUCCUGUGUCCCAACAAGAGUCUUUCACAUUCUGAAUGCUGUUUCUUCACUGAUAUGAACCUUGAGAGAACGGAGGGAGCCAAGGAAAGCCACAGACAACAUUCUACAUUCUAGAAAAUCAAGGCCUUCUCAUAAAAAACACUUCCUUGUAGCUGUGAAUUCAGCAGGGAGGCAAAUUACAACCAAUGUCUGAUAAUGCAGCUGAUAUCUGGUAUACAGGCCUGUCGACUAACUAUUCCAUGGGGAGAAAGAAAGCAUCAAAAAUUAGCAUGAGGGGUUGGAGAUUUAGCUCAGUGGUAGAGUGCUUGCCUAGCAAGCACAAGGCCCUGGGUUUGGUCCCCAGCUCUGAAAAAAAGAUAAAAGAAAAAAAUUAGCAUGAGAUACAAAAAAAAGACUUAAAAAUGAGUCAGAACUCUGUCACGUGUAGUAAGUGGUCCCAGUGAGGGUUACAAAUAACAUGAAGGGUAUUUGUUUGAGCAACAGUUACUCUGCUGAAGAACUCAAAUGUUCAUUUGUGCUUGAAAAUCUGUCACAGAAGACUGUAUUGAUAUCAUACACUAGUCCAGAGAGACCAUAACCAAAAGUAUAUUAUUCCUUCUGUAGUACAGGGUUGAAACUACUUCACAUCACACAUUUCUAUGUUCUACACAGAUGAAAGCAUUCCCUAAAUCUUUGUCUUAGUAAUUUGGUUUUAUUUUUCAUUUGGAAAAUGGCUGAGUAUUCUUCAGUUCCACACCUGAACUGAAGUGACUGUUCCUCAGACUGUAUACGUAGAGGACAUCUGAGUAGUAGUUGACAUUUUUAGCCAGGUUAGUCUCCCCAUGGAUCUGUUUGGGCCUGAAUAAGCAUGCAUAGACAUAUUUUAGCUAAGGGAAUCAUGUAAUAGACAAAACAUUACAGAAUCAGUCUGCUGUAAAUAUUUUUCUUUUACACAGGUCAAGGACUGUGUAUCAAAGGCUGUGUAUCAAAGGUUGUAGAUAAUUGCACCAUCCCUAGAUGAUGAUAUAUCAAGAAGAAUUCCUUAGGGCUACACAGAUCGAUCUAAGUAUCCCCACACAAUUCUAACCCAGGAGGGACAAGAAAUCACUUCACGUGGAAACUUACAAUAAUCUGAUGCUAUGGUAUGUGAACUGUUAAUAGAUAACGAAAAACCACCUAAAAAGCACAUGCAAAUAUACAAGAUGCUAUUCAAAAAUUAUCCAGAGGCAGUUUGCAACCUACAUUUAGCACAAAGAGGUUGAUUCCCAACUUCACAGAUUCUGAUCAGAACCAUUGAGUAUUAAGAAAUCUAUAUUAGAACUCACAUGCGUAUCACAUGUCUGUGUAACUAGGUAGUCACAGCGAACAUGACAUUCGGGAAGCAUAGCCUGAACUUGCCAAGAAUGGAGGGAGUGCAUUUAGCUGUUGAAGUCUGGGCAUGAAACUCAAAUGUCCAAAAUACCAGCUAGAUAUCAUUUACAGAACAAUAAAUACUUGAUGAGUUUUGGGACAAAAUUCGAAUCUAAAGACUCCAAAAAUUAUUUAUCAUUCCACUCUGAAUCCCUAUGGAGAGAUUAAUGGUGGAUAUUAUGAAUUUAGUCUGUACCCCAGAGUUAUAAGAAAAUGGUGCAAUUUGAAGUGAUCAGAUAUGUUAAAGAGGCAUUCAAAACAAAGGAGGUCAUGCUAUCUUUGAACAGGUUUGCUUCUCAAACAUGUAGCAUGAGUUACUGUGAAUGACCUAGACACACACACACACACACACACACACACACACACACACACACACACGCACAUAUCCUACAAAUAAUUGACUUGCUCUGUGCUGUGUGUGGCAUGUUGGAUUUAUCCAAGAUAUGAGGUGUAUACUCCACAAGUAAGUUAAACCCAAAGUCAAUGAAAAAUUUAGAAUUCCUCUUCCUUUCUUGAGAAAGCAUUCUGUGCAUGAGUAAUGCUUACAUUUUAAAGUUUAAGAGGAAUGACUUAAAAACAGUAACAACUGAAUCCCACUUUGAAAACAACAUUUCAGAGAUGUCUAGUGAUUCAAUUUUGAUUUUAUCAACCUGCAGUUGCUCAGUUCUCAUGAUUGGAGGAUUGAACCAGGUCAUUACUAGACAUAACUCUGUAGGGACAGUAAGAGCUUCAACAAUUCUUCAAGUUGAAAAACCUAAGAAACCGUACUGGCAACAGUUUAAUUCAAAAGGGAGAAACUUGUGCUUGGGUAAAUCCAGUACCUAAGACUGAGCAGCUGGUUCAAAGCCAAGGAGAAACAUUGUAUCUAAAUAAGGACUUCCUGAUGCAGAACAUGUUACUAAAAUGAAGAAAGCUAAGGGCUUCAGGAAAUAUGCAUGAGGAAGACUUUGAAUGGUAGAAAUUUUAUGCUAUUAAUUUAGUGGUACACUUUGAGAGGACGAAUUUUUUUUCUUUUUUCUUUUUUUCCGGAGCUGGGGACCGAACCCAGGGCCUUGCACUUGCUAGGCAAGCGAGAGGACGAAUUUUUAAAAUGUUUAUCUCCUUGGAAGUGAAAAUAUUUGAGCUGAGUAAAUGCUGUAGUCCAGGUAGGAAAGGGAAGUGAGUUUCCAUUCAGACAUUGGAAUUCCCUUCACACUGAACAUGAACAUGAGAGGGUUUCAAAGAAGUGUUGAAGCACAUCAAAAUACUGAUGGGCAUCCAGGAGGAGUCUCAGAGGGUUAAUUCUUUCUUGUUCUGAGGGAUUUUCAAGAUUCUUAUUGAAAAUCAGUCAAGAGAAAUUCAAAAUCUAGAAACCAAAUUCUGUACAUGUUUCAUUUUAGCCUUGGAAGCCCUUGACCUGUAAAGAACCCAAAGAUGCAUAGCUAGAUUCAUCUUUAAAACUGUAUUACAAUUGGUGACUGACUGCCUUCCCGCUAUGUUCCCAAGGCCAGCCACAGGGUAUGACUGUGGUGUUAAUCUUCAACAAGAGAAUGCUGCUUAACUUAAUUACUGUGUUUUGUUUUUGGUUUGAGUUUUGUUUUCUUCAGGUAUUAACUUUGUUUGUUUUGGUUGGAAGUUUUGUUAUUCAUUCUUUAUUAAUUUUUGUUCUUGUGGUGUAUUUGCAGUUCUGUUAAGGUCAUGCACUUUAUAUUAUGAUUGUAUCAUUUAAGCACUUUUUGAGAAAAGUUAAUAUAUUUUUUAAAGAAUAAAAUGUGUUUUUCAACUUAUAAGAAACUUGUUUUUUUAUGUGUAGUGUAGCCAUCCUGUAAUCCCAGAAACCAUAUGCAGAGAUAGAUCACUGAAACAUUCAGGGGCCUGGGGAUUGAUAAUUUGUUCACAACAAGCCAGAGGUAAAUAUGUGGAUUGGACUUUCAAUGUGGCUAGUGUGGCCUACUGUGGAUACCAAUUUCAUGAUGGAAAAGGUAUCCAUGAUGCAUCCUUGUGGUCCUAUAUUUAGGUACUCCUAAAAUAUAGUACUCUAGGGAUGAUCAUAUAGAACAAACUAGUGAGAAACUCAAUAGUUUUGCUCUAAUGAUUCUCAGGAAAUGAAAACAUUCACCAAUGGAGUAAAAAUAGAAAUCAGGAAAACCAGACCUAUCUGUCUCUGGUUACCUGAAAUAUAGUCACAAUGGGAACCACAUGGGAGAGAUAAUGA